rnacentral:rRNA from 1 species
UACAGAGGUGGCAAGCGUUGUUCGGAAUUACUGGGCGUAAAGGGCGCGUAGGCGGUUCGUUAAGUCCUGUGUGAAAUCCCCCGGCUCAACUGGGGAACUGCACAGGAAACUAGCGGGCUUGAGUUCGGGAGAGGGAAGCGGAAUUCCGGGUGUAGCGGUGAAAUGCGUAGAUAUCCGGAGGAACACCGGUGGCGAAGGCGGCUUCCUGGACCGACACUGACGCUGAGCGCGAA